UCCUCCUCCCCCAACCCGCGCCGCCUCCUCUCCUCCUCCCAAGCAGGACGCAGCCGACGUGAGCGAGGACGGAACUCGGCGCCGCCGGAGAACGGCCGCGGGGCGCUGCUGCGUGGAGCGCCAGUCACCGCCGGUUACCGACCGACGGGGGCGCCUUGACGCGGCCACAUCGGCGGCAAGGACUUCGCGCUCGCACGAGGGUGGUUGGACGGGGCAGCGGCGAGCGAUGGGGUCGGCCGGAUGCGGCAACCGGAUGGGGACGGCCGCGAUGGUGGCCCGGAGGAGCGUUCAUGGAGGAGGACGCCAUCAACGCGGAGAGUGGCGGCUGCCCGGCGCUACGAGCUCGAGAAGAUCGUCCACAGCCGGCCAGGGCGCGAGGGCUGCAACGGAGGUGGGGUCGAUAUAGGUGGUGGUGGAGGCCUCCUCCUCCCCCAAUUCUUCCGCUCCUGAAGGCAGUGGUGGAGGCUCGCCGACAUGCCUAGGAGACGCGGGUUCGCUCAGGUUUUCUUCCCCCUCCUCCCUCCACUCUUCAUCUCUGUCUAUCUCUGGCAGCUCUUACUCUCGUUUCUCUACUUUCAAUGAAAAGAAUGCAAUCUUCUAGACAAUCAAUCCUCGAAGUAGUAAGUUUUGUUCAGUCCAAUGCUAAGGCAUUCAGCAACCAAACACUUUGUUUGCCAAGGGAGAUAAUCAUAGAAAGAAAAAUAAAAUGAAAUUAUUUAGUGUAGCCGAUCUAUAUAUGUGUACUCUAGCCAUAAAGUGAGAUGGAAAAUUAAGGUGAGUAGAAACAAGCUUUACACUCUUAAGUUCGGUAUUGCUUGAUAUUGCAAUUUGAAUUAAUACAUCAGAAAUGACGGUGAUAGGUUGCCAGACUUUAUUUAUUUAUUGAGCAUAGCAGCUGUAUCUCGCGACCACGAUGGGAAAUCUGGUAUUAAUCUAUUUUAGAUGAGGACAAUGCCAUAAAUAUCAUCACUGUCUGAGAAAUAUUUUGUUUGGCGUGCACAUCGUAAAUUACUAGGAUUGUGAUCCUAUUUUUCUUGCUACAACCUGAUAAGGGGUUUAGUUAUGUACCACUUGCAGUAUUUAGAAAAGAGAUGGAGGAGUAUAUAAUGUGAUGUAUGAAGAUAUUUAUCGGUUGUGUUAUAGCCUUAUAGGCAUUGGCUUCGAACCUUUACUUUUUCCAAAUAUGUCUCCUUUAUUCCAGUUCCUUGAAGUUCUACCUCUUUAUCGGUUGUGUUAUUCGUGCUUUCUUUCCUUGUGCUUUGAAUGUCUGCCUACUAAUUCUACUUUGUUGUUCUGCUUGUUUCGCUUCGAAUCUUGCAGCCCUAUCUGUCUGUGCAUUGCAGCUUCUCUGGAAGGUUCCUUAGUUCCAUGAUGUUUUCUUCCUUGCACUUGCUUUCGUUGCUUGGUUUUCAAAAAAAGUAUCCCCAACAUAGAUUUUCACUUCAUGUGGUUGUGCCCUGAUAUAAUGAAUUAUGGCCUUGAAGAAAAGGGAGCUUCAUCUACUGGCAUUUCAUUUAUUCUCUAUGGUUUUAGUUCAGUACGUUGGUUCAUGGGCUAGAAGAAGACUAGAGAGCUUCAUCUAUUAGCAUUUGAUUUAUCCUCUAUGUUUUUAAUUAGGAAGGGAAGCCACCGGGCUGGAGGAGGUGGCUGCAUGCAGUGCUUAGGACAUUGACAUGACUUUCCAUGGCUAGGUCAAAGCUCCUAAGUUCUGGUGAGCCACUUCCAAGCCGGACCCUUGAUCUACAUCCACGGCGACCUGGGUUGGCCACAAGAGGGAUUUGUUUGUAGCUUGAGGUAGUGUAUGAAAAUAAAUUGUAUAUGUGCAUCCAAUGGGCGAGAUAUUGGUCAUCCAAACAACACAAACCUGGAUUUUCUAGCACGCUGCUGAUUGUUGCUGUAGUGGAUGUAUUUUUGAGAUUUGAAAGAGGCCAAUGGAAGCUACAUAACUCAAGUCAGCGACUUCUAAAAGGCAGAAACGCUUUUGAAUUUCAUAAGAUGACAAAAAUGUCAGUAAUAAGACAACAUCAAGAGCUGUAAGGCAUGCACCAAAUGUUUAAAGCAUGGCUUGCUCUUUUGGAGAAGGGUUCGGUAGAAGUUAAUUGGGGAAUGGGUUUCCCUGCUAUAGAGAUACCUGUAAUAGCAUCCAAGAUCCCAAAGCCCCUUCUUUAUGGGAAACCUUCAAAAGAUGUCUGAGGGACAAGAGGGCAAGGAUUUUGUUAACACAGAGAAAACAAAGAGGAAUAUCAAUGUCUCUGAAUAUCUCGUUCUUGUGAUACUUCUGGGCUCUUUGGCCCAUGCCUCUGGCGGUCGACUAUCCUAGCAGCGUUUUGUGUAUGACCACUGUAAGAAUAAGCUGAGAGUUAUUUGUCUUGGUGUCUUACUUUAGUUCAUCCUUUCCAGCUGCUCCCUAUACUCCUAUCAUGGGGAACGAGGAAUCAGGUAAUGGAGAUACACAUUUUUGUGACUAUUCUUAAUUUCCAUCACCGAGGCUUGGAACUGAGGAUAUUCUUCGUUUGACGGUCUAACCCAUAAUGGUGCAGGUGACACCUCUUGUCUGGUUGGAAGUCCAACUUGUAAAAUAUUCAAGAAGGAACGGUAGAGAAGUGGGUCUGCAUCAAGGAGAGUGUCCGUUGCAGCUGUCACACAUUUCUUGGGGAUGGAUGGUAGCGGCAGCGAGAAACAGAGGUGACAGCACGCACAUCUGCCUCCGCCCCAACGUCUCUGUCGACUGGACACCUCCGCACCGCCUCCAUCCUCCCGACGGUGAGUGUGAGGUGGCCUCACAACUGUCUUCUCUUCUCUAUUUCUAGGUUGUU